rnacentral:tRNA from 1 species
GUUAAUGUAGCUUAAACUUAAAGCGAAGCACUGAAAAUGCUAAGAUGGGUAUUUAUACCCCAUAAACA